UACGGGGGGGGCAAGCGUUGUUCGGAAUUACUGGGCGUAAAGGGUUUGUAGGUGGCCGAUUAAGUCAUACGUGAAAUCCCUCAGCUUAACUGGGGAACUGCGUCUGAUACUGGUUGGCUUGAGUGCAGGAGAGGAACGCGGAAUUCCAGGUGUAGCGGUGAAAUGCGUAGAUAUCGAGAGGAACACCGGCGGCGAAGGCGGCCAACUGGACGAUUACUGACGCUGAGACACGAAAGCGUGGGGAGCAAACAGG
rnacentral:rRNA from 1 species